ensembl:snRNA U6 U6 spliceosomal RNA
GUCUGGUUUGGUGGCAGCACAUUCACUGAAAUUGGAACUAUACAGAGAAGAGUAGUGGGACACCUGCACGUGACCUGCACAUUUGUGAAAUAUUCCAUGUUUUC